GACGAACGCUGGCGGCGUGCUUAACACAUGCAAGUCGAACGGAAAGGCCCCCUUGUGGGGUACUCGAGUGGCGAACGGGUGAGUAACACGUGAGUAACCUACCCUUGACUUUGGGAUAACUUCAGGAAACUGGGGCUAAUACCGGAUAGGAGCUCCUGCUGCAUGGUGGGGGUUGGAAAGUUUCGGCGGUUGGGGAUGGACUCGCGGCUUAUCAGCUUGUUGGUGGGGUAGUGGCUCACCAAGGCUUUGACGGGUAGCCGGCCUGAGAGGGUGUCCGGCCACAUUGGGACUGAGAUACGGCCCAGACUCCUACGGGAGGCAGCAGUGGGGAAUAUUGCACAAUGGGCGGAAGCCUGAUGCAGCAACGCCGCGUGCGGGAUGACGGCCUUCGGGUUGUAAACCGCUUUCGCCUGUGACGAAGCGUGAGUGACGGUAAUGGGUAAAGAAGCACCGGCUAACUACGUG
rnacentral:rRNA from 1 species